GGGACAAAAAUGGUUAUGAAAUAUUGUUGUUUCUCAAAAAACCAUAAAUUCCUUCCUCCCACAUCCAGAUCCACUUUUCUCAACCCGAUCUCGUUCUCGACGGCGAUAGCCAUCUCCAGCUGCGGCGUAGAUAAUCCCUCUCUUAUCUUUUCUCUCCUCUCUCCCCUCUCCCCUUUGCCCUCUGCCCUCUUCAUCUGGCCGCGGCUAGCCUACGGCAGGCCCACAUGGCGGCACCUAGCAGGCCGCCCAUGGAGGCGCCUCGCCGCGCGUUGCACCCCCUGCCCUUGUGGCCUCACGUCGCCGCGCGUGGCCGGCCUGGCCGCGCAGAUGGAGCAGCUCAGAGUGGAGGCCAAAGUGUUCGAGAUCUAACGUCCUCAAUGGAGUCGACCCGCCCCCCUACUUUUGAAGUAUAUCAGGUUAGAGCUUUGGCGUGAUAAGCACAUUGAAUUUUUAACUAAAGGACUCGGGAAACUUGGGCCAAGCUACAAUGUUCUAGAUGCCAAUCGACCUUGGCUUUGCUACUAGAUCAUGCACUCAAUUGCUUUGCUAGGAGAAUCUCUGGACUUGGAGCUUGAGGAAAAUGUGGUUGAAUUUUUAUUUCGGUGUCAGGUGUAAAUUCUACUGUGGCCUCUCAUGUGACACAAAAUGCCUUGAGUUCUGUUUUAUAUAAACAUUAACGAACACCUUAUGAGCAAGACUACAUGAAGCUUCUUAUUUCUAAUAAAAAUAUAGGUAAAUUCUUUUUUGCUUAAUGUGUUGGUCACAUAAGUUUUUUUACCUGAUCGUCGGGGUUUAACUGAUAAGUUUAUCACUGGCUUAAGGUAAUUUUUGAAUUUUACAUAUUAUAUUUAGUGUUUUUAACUAUUAAUUCAUGGAUUGUGAACCUUUCAAUUUUUUUUAUUUUAAUUAAUAUUGUUAUUUUAUUUUUAAUAGGGUUGAUGAGCCAAAAAUCUAUGUCAGCGAAAAAGAAAAGAAGAUUAUAUGGGGAUGCGUUCAUGUAUGUAUUGUUUAUUUUGAAAAAACUUGUAUAACUUUUAGGAGAUGUUGGAUUUGUAUUACUUUUUGUACUAUUUGACUUGUAUCAGAUUUUGGAGUCUUGAAGAAGAACGUUCUUGUAUAACUUUUUGAGAAGGUUUUGGAUUUGUAUUACUGUAAAAUUGAUUUCAAAUAUUAAUAUAUGUAUAUAUAUGUUAAAUAGAAUGUGAUAAUGUUAAUUAGGAUGUGUUGAAUGUUUAUGAUAUGGUAUUUAAUUUUGUUAUGAUA